UACAGAGGGUGCGAGCGUUGAUCGGAAUUACUGGGCGUAAAGCGCACGUAGGCGGCGCUGUAAGUCGGGUGUGAAAGCCCCGGGCUCAACCUCGGAAUUGCAUUCGAUACUGCAUUGCUCGAGUCCGGAAGAGGUGAGCGGAAUUCCUGGUGUAGCGGUGAAAUGCGUAGAUAUUAGGAAGAACACCAGUGGCGAAGGCGGCUCACUGGUCCGGUACUGACGCUGAGGUGCGAAAGCGUGGGGAGCAAACAGG
rnacentral:rRNA from 1 species